UACGGAGGGUGCAAGCGUUAUCCGGAUUUACUGGGUUUAAAGGGUGCGUAGGCGGACUUUUAAGUCAGUGGUGAAAUCCCCGAGCUUAACUCGGAAACUGCCAUUGAUACUAUUAGUCUUGAAUUCGGUCGAGGUUGGCGGAAUGUGUCGUGUAGCGGUGAAAUGCUUAGAUAUGACACAGAACACCGAUUGCGAAGGCAGCUAGCUAGACCGACAUUGACGCUGGGGCACGAAAGCGUGGGGAUCAAACAGG
rnacentral:rRNA from 1 species